CACAUCUUAUUUAGUGUUAGAGACAGGCCCGUGAAGUGGACCAUAUCCUAAUUAGAAGCCCAUGAACUCAAUCACAUCCUAAUUAGAACCCUGUGAACUCAAUCAAAUCCUUAUUAGUGUUGAUUCUGUACCUCCACUUACAAAAAUUUUUUAAUAUGCAUCUCGGGUACGAGUUAAUACUAGGCCUUUAGUAAAAACGAAAGUAAAUUGUAUGACGUAUGCAAUUUGUGUGUGUUUGAGUUCACGGAACUUCCGAUUGUAUCAGUUCACGGGCUUAUAGACCCUGCCCUGGAUUUUUAGGUCCUAUUGCAACUGGUUGUUUUCCGGCAACGUGUGUCGUACAACGUGCGUUGACAAUAACUACUGCUCCAAUUCUUUACAAAUGAACCACUGUGAGUUUGUUACAACUGACUUUGGGCUGCGUUCUCAAACACACACUCUUUAAGACAUAAAGCAGUUGGAUUUGGUACUGGUGGAGGUUGAAAUCAUGGUUCUGAAGAAUGAGUUAUGAUGGAAGUGAUACAAUGAUGGGACACUUAACAUCAUACCAGAAUUAAAGAGUCAAUAUAAAGAUUCUUGAAUGAUCAACUUCCACUGGGGAUGAAGGAUGAAUGAGAAAUCUGUAAAUGAUAUUUUGAUUCAAAUUAAGUUAUAUUUUAUAUAUAAUGAAUCAGAAACAUGCUUGCUAUCCAAUCUCGCCUGUAUUAAAAAUUAUGCAUGUUGCAUAAGCAGUAUCUAUUGCAUUAGAUUAGAAUAAAACUUUAUUAUGAUAUAAAGAAUUUUUUAAAAAAAUAAAAUUAACAUGACAGCUGGUUUGAUUUGUU